CCUACGGGAGGCAGCAGUGAGGAAUAUUGGUCAAUGGGCGGGAGCCUGAACCAGCCAAGUCGCGUGAGGGAAGACGGUCCUAUGGAUUGUAAACCUCUUUAGGCGGGGAGCAAUGCCGGGCACGCGUGCCCGGAGGGAGAGUACCCGCCGAAUAAGCAUCGGCUAACUCCGUGCCAGCAGCCGCGGUAAUACGGGGGAUGCGAGCGUUAUCCGGAUUUAUGGGGUUAAAAGGGUGCGUAGGCGGAUUUUUAAGUCAGCGGUAAAAUGUCCGGGCUCAACCCGGGCCGGCCGUUGAAACUGGGGAUCUUGAGUGGGCGAGAGGUAUGCGGAAUGCGUGGUGUAGCGGUGAAAUGCAUAGAUAUCACGCAGAACUCCGAUUGCGAAGGCAGCAUACCGGCGCCCGACUGACGCUGAGGCACGAAAGCGUGGGGAUCGAACAGGAUUAGAUACCCCAGUAGUC
rnacentral:rRNA from 1 species